rnacentral:rRNA from 1 species
UUCGAUCGUUAGUGGCGGACGGCUGAGUAACGCGUAGGUGACCUGCCCCGAAGUGGGGAAUAACUGCCCGAAAGGGUGGCUAAUACCGCAUGUGGUGGUGUGUUCAUUCACACCAGUAAAGCCGCAAGGCGCUUCGGGAGGGGCCUGCGUCCGAUUAGCUCGUUGGUGGGGUAACGGCUCACCAAGGCGACGAUCGGUAGGUGGUCUGAGAGGACGAUCACCCAGACUGGGACUGAGACACGGCCCAGACUCCUACGGGAGGCAGCAGUCGGGAAUUUUGCGCAAUGGACGAAAGUCUGACGCAGCAACGCCGCGUGAGGGAU